GAAAAUUACAAGCAUAAGCUCAAAACUCAAAGGACUUGGCGGCGCUUUAGAUCCACCUAGAGGAGCCUGUCCUAUAACCGAUAAUCCCCGUUAAACCUUACCUUCUUUUGCCUCCAGUCUAUAUACCGCCGUCGUCAGCUUACCCUUUGAGGGUCUCAUUAGUAAGCAAAAUUGGUAAAGCCCAAGACGUCAGGUCGAGGUGUAGCAUAUAAGAAGAGAAGAGAUGGGCUACAUUUCCUAUUUAGGGUCCACGGAAAAUGUUUUGAAACAGACAUAUUGAAGUAGGAUUUAGUAGUAAGUAAAAAAUAGAGUGUUUUACUGAAACCGACCCUUAAGCGCGCACACACCGCCCGUCGCUCUCUCCUAAUCACAAUCUCAAAUAUAUAUAUAAAAACUUAAACAAAUAAAGGGGAGACAAGUCGUAACAUGGUAGGUGUACUGGAAAGUGCACUUGGAUAAAU
rnacentral:rRNA from 1 species